UGGGGAGUGGGUUCUCCACCCUGCAGGCAUUCAGUGCAGGCUGGGCAAUCUCUAUGAAGGCCUGUGGCUUAAAGGUCCAGCUGUUGCCAGGAGCUCUGGGCUCCCUGAGGUCUCCGAGUCGGCUGUUUCUGUCUCUGCAGCAUCCCAGGUGAGCUGGUGUAUGUGCUGCCGGAGUAGGGAAGGCUUGAGUUCCUCCUCGCUUCUGGUCAUUGGCUCCUAGGAAUUCAAUGUUACUCUCAGAAUGGGAGUAAAUAACUGAGGAGAUGUGUUUUUUCCUUCGGCAGCAGAUGUAUGUCUGGAAAACAACUGUCUGAGAUUUUCAUUAAAAAUCAAAGCCUGUUGUCAUUUUUGAGACUUUAUUUCAUGCUGUGAUAUAGUAUUGGAAUAAAAAGCUUGCCGUAAUUUAAUCCCCCAAUUCUCCUGCGUAAGAGUCACAUAGUCUGGGGCACUACACUUCUGAUCCAAGGCACUGCUGAUAAAGGGGAACCUCAUUCGGCCUUGUCAGUGGCACACCCUCAGCAACAGCUAGUUCUGGCUGCGGUUAGUGUCUUGAGAGGAGAGUGUCGGUGGGAGAUAGAUGCUUCAUCUUGAGGCCUGUAGCAUGAGCCCAGAGAGGGAUGGAGGGAAUCUCAAGGCUGAAAUCUGAAAGUAAAUUCUAGGGGAAUCACAGGUAAGGCUCCAGAUGAGAACAGCAGCAAAGGAGAUGCCCAGAAUCACACCUGUGGUCUUAAAGAAGGGAGAUGGGAUGCUGCCGGGAAUGUGGGAUGCUGUCGGGGAGGCAGGAUGCUCUUGAGAAUGUGGGAUGCUGUUGGGGAGGCAGGAUGCUGGUGGGGAGGCAGGCAAGGCGGGAUGCCAUUGGGAAGGCGGGAUGCCGUCGGGGAGGCGGGAUGCCGUCGGGGAGGGUGGAUGCCGUCGGGGAGGCGGGAUGCUGUCAGGGAGGCGGGAUGCCAUUGGGGAGGUGGGAUGCUGUCGGGGAGGUGGGAUGCUGUUGGGGAAGCGAGAUGAUUUUGCAGAGGCAGGAUGCUGUUGGGGAGGCGGGAUGCUUUUCUCACUCUGGCUGUCCCUGUACACCAGGGCACUGUCUCUGC
rnacentral:lncRNA from 1 species